ACGGAAGGUCCGGGCGUUAUCCGGAUUUAUUGGGUUUAAAGGGAGCGCAGGCGGACCUUUAAGUCAGCUGUGAAAUACGGCGGCUCAACCGUCGAACUGCAGUUGAUACUGGAGGUCUUGAGUGUACACAGGGAUGCUGGAAUUCAUGGUGUAGCGGUGAAAUGCUCAGAUAUCAUGAAGAACUCCGAUCGCGAAGGCAGGCAUCCGGGGUGCAACUGACGCUGAGGCUCGAAAGUGCGGGUAUCAAACAG
rnacentral:rRNA from 1 species